rnacentral:lncRNA from 1 species
CUAUGAUAAUGAGGGUGUCAACAAUAGGAACCAAACAUAAGAAAGCUUUUCGACAUCAAGAGGCCCACCAGAAUAUUCACAAGUCUGUCAAAUAUGUACAAGUAACAUUGAAACAUAAAAAAAAUAUUAGAACACCCAUCCAACAGAGACAACAAAUUGACUAUGUGAUGUAAGUGGUGUUGCUUCAACGGCUCUCGCUGGAGCAAUGCUGAAAAACAUGUAACUCCAACCACAGAUCUGGAUUCUCUUUGGUGUAGGCCAUUAUUUUCAAUCGAAUCAGAGAAAGAGGUAAAGAGGGAUGAACCGGCGGUAGUAGCUCGCUGGAGCUCGGCGGUCAUCACCUUCGGUGAGACAGCCACGAAGAAGAUAAAAAAUUGAGAGAAAAAAAUAGAGGAGGAAGGCGACAGUGAUUGCUGGUGGACGACUAG